rnacentral:rRNA from 1 species
CCUACGUGCGACAGCAGUGAGGAAUAUUGGUCACUGGACGAGAGUCUGAACCAGCCAAGUCGCGUGAAGGAUGACUCCCCUCUGCGUUGUACACUUCUUUUAUAUGGGAAUAAAACGUUCCACGUGUGGGACUUUGUAUGUACCCUAUGAAUAAGCAUCGGCUAACUCCGUGCCAGCAGCCGCGGUAAUACGGAGGAUCCGAGCGUUAUCCGGAUUUAUUGGGUUUAAAGGGAGCGUAGGUGGAUUGUUAAGUCAGUUGUGAAAGUUUGCGGCUCAACCGUAAAAUUGCAGUUGAAACUGGCAGUCUUGAGUACAGUAGAGGUGGGCGGAAUUCGUGGUGUAGCGGUGAAAUGCUUAGAUAUCACGAAGAACUCCGAUUGCGAAGGCAGUUCACUGGACUGCAACUGACACUGAGGCUCGAAAGUGUGGGUAUCAAACAGGAUUAGAUACCCCGGUAGUC